AUUGAACGCUGGCGGCAGGCCUAACACAUGCAAGUCGAGCGGCAGCACGGGUACUUGUACCUGGUGGCGAGCGGCGGACGGGUGAGUAAUGCCUAGGAAUCUGCCUGGUAGUGGGGGAUAACGCUCGGAAACGGACGCUAAUACCGCAUACGUCCUACGGGAGAAAGCAGGGGACCUUCGGCCGUUGCGCUAUCAGAUGAGCCUAGGUCGGAUUAG
rnacentral:rRNA from 1 species